rnacentral:tRNA from 1 species
GCCCUCGUAGCUCAGGUGGAUAGAGCACCAGAUUCCUAAUCUGGGUGUCGCAGGUUCGAGUCCUGCCGGGGGUACCA